GUCUACAGCCAUGCUACCCUGAACGUGCCCGAUCCCACCUGAUCUCGGAAGCUAAGCAGGGUUGGGCCUGGUUAGUACUUAGAUGGGAGACCACAUAGGAAGACUGUGUGCUAUAGGUG
rnacentral:rRNA from 1 species